rnacentral:lncRNA from 10 species
AGCAGAUGGGUUAAACUCAGGCCGCGCAUGUCUAGAAUAUGCACACUUACAUGCUUGUUGAAAAAACUGUGUUGAUUAGUAUCAAACUAGCUUUAGAAAAUAGAAGUUAAAAAAGGCAAUAGACUUUGGCAAAUUAUUUGAGUAAAACGUCAAAUGUCAGAUAUGUCGAGGCAUGGGUAGCCUUCUAAGGGGUCACGUCUAUGGAAGGAAAAAGUUUGGCUUAACAAAUAGGAAAGUGAGAAAAAGAAUGAAACAGUAAAAUAACAGGAUCUCGUGAUGGGGAAAAGGCGGCCUGCCCAGACCUAAACGCCUCGCGGCCUCGCAGGCGACGCGGGGAUGACUCAGCAGGACAGAAGGGAGGGAAGCUCCAGACGCCACGGCCCUCUUCGAGAUGAAAGUACCUCCCAUCCUAAGGGACUGGCGUUCCAGGAACAGCUGCGCUGGCUGAGCCGGCUCAGUGAGGCGGAGCGGCCAAGCCUUCAGUCCACUCCCACUCCCCGAUGAAAAACCCAAGACCGGGUAGCGCAGCCCCUCCGCGCACGCGUAACACGAGGAGACACCGCCCACACGCCAGACGCGCUGUGAUUGGCCCCAGCUACCCUCGGACCGAGAUUCCUAUUGGUCCCAGGUGUCGAGCAUGCGCACUUUGGUCGUGGGCGCGUGUGUGGAAUGGGAGGAGGUCGCGCUGUCCAUGGGCGUCCUUGGCCUGCGCCACCCAGAGAUGAUAAAUAGCCAAAGACGUCAAUGGCACCCAUGGACAUAGUAAGCAUAGUAGGAGCUGAAAAACUAGAAGCAAUGACAAUGUCAACUAUUUUGAGCAAAAAGAAGCAGUGUCUUCGGAACAUUUGAUCAUAAAACCAGAAAUUAAAGGAUGAGAAAAACAUUUUUCUGAAGCUUAUACUUUCACAUUUCCUAGAGAGCAUAUUUGUGUGGAUGGGGGUGGGUAAACACUCAACAAAAGUUUCUUUAAAAAGAAGAAACCAUCCUGGUUUGAUGUAAUCAAUGGUUGCCCACUGCUCCCUUCCUGUGCCUGUGACCCUUCCCAAACUGCCCUGUUGCUUGCAGGCUCGCCUGAGCUGAAAGGCAGCCCUCACAUCCCGUCGGCACCUCCCUGGGGCCUUCUUUACACCCUGGAGAACUUCACAGGGAAUCUGUGUCUGUAACACAAAGGCUUCCUGGUCCAGAUGUAGAUACUAAGGCUGACUGGUUAUUUAAGUCCUGCGGACUUACUCUGCCAAAAUUAUUUAAUCAUGUAAAAAUAAUUUAUAAUUCUUAUAAAGUAUCCCCUUCAUAAUAUAAUGAAUGUUGGUGCUAUUACAUUUAAGUGCACAUGUACAGUAUACAAGAUUAUUAAUAAUAAUGUUUUCAAAUAGUUAUUGUCAAAGCUAUUUUUCUUAUGUUUAUGAAAGUGCUUAUAAAAUUCAUGUUUUAUGAGGCUGGAGAUGUAUAUUUUGUAAUUUCAUUCUGAUAUUUGUUAAUAUUCGCUUCCAAUGCUGGUUUUGUUUGAUGAGACUGACAUUGCCUAAUUUCAAGCUUUUUGAAUGUGUAUUCUUUCAGGGCAAGUAUGAAAUAACUAGUAAAAAAUAUACAAAUAUGCUUAACAAUAAGUAGACUUUCUCACAUUGAUUACUUACAACAGCUUUAUGUGGGGUGAAUCAGAUGCCUGUAUUACAGAAGCAUCUAAUGCAAAGCAAAAUAAAAACACUUGCAUGAGCGCACAGAGGUAGGUGUGGAAGAAAGUGAAACACUAUUUUAGGUUUUAGUUACACUCUGCUGUGGUGUGCUGCCUAGUAUUUGCAGGUUAAUGCAAAUACUAGGGGUUAUGAAUUGUUUCUAAGUUUAUUAUUAAAAAUAGCCUUGCUUCAUUUCUUCCUAAAAUGGAGACAAAUAUGUAUAGUGUCUGUGUUACCAGUAUGUGUAAGAGUAAUAUCUUAAUGCGUGUAAAAUGUUUAUAGGAACCUGUAUUUCAAAGAGCUAUUUUUGCAAGUGACACUAUCCUUUUAAGAAACUUUUUUAUUCAAACUUUUUCCUCCAUUUAUAACUAUUCUAUUAUUUCUUAAUGUUCAGAACCCUUUUCAUUAUCUAUAAGGUUAAAUUUUAGGUAAGUAAUGAGAAAAUAAUAAUAUGUGGAGAAGAAAUGAGUGAGGAGUCGAGAUGUGUGUCAAUCAAGAAUGAGUUUGUCAGCCCUUGUAUUAUGAUUUUACUCGGGAGGGGAUAAUUAUUGAAGGAUGUAAUGUAAGGGCAGUGAUACUAUAUGGUAUGUAAGACUGUUAAAAUCACUGAGGUAAGCUAUUACUUGAACUAAGCAUAGAAAUAGAGACAGAUUUUUAAUGCAUUUAAUUAUCAAAAUAUCUAAAUUAAAGAUUUGAUGUGGUUGUUCACUGGAAACAAAUGGCAGACAAACAGAAUAUUUCUUGGAAUCAUAAAUGACAUCAUCCUGUCUCCAACUUUCUGUGUAGCUUCUUUCUUUAGUUGGUCUUUGCUUAGAUUUCCCUGUGUCAGAGACGACUUCCCUGGAUAUCAGUGACAGUUAUUGAUUGCUCAUGCUAUGAACUCCUCCCAUUUCUCAGCCCUCUUGCAGUAGGUGGGGCCAUGGUACUAGUUGUGGCUUAUUGCUUAAAGACUUUAAGGCUCCAUGUGUGACUUUCCAGCUCUGGUCCACUGCUACUGCGGCUCUGGCAGGACUAGGGAGGUGCCCCGUGUCUCAGAUGGUGCAGCCUCCAUCCAGCUGUGUCCCUGAAUGACUAGAGCACAGCCACUGGUGACCUGUGGUGGACGUAGAAUGUGGGUAAGAGAUAAACUUAUGCUACACCGCUGGGGUUCAGGGGCUAAUUUGUUACCACAGCAUAGUCAACCUUUUCUAGCACCCCAUUCUGUCUAAAUUUAGUAGUCCUACCCCACUCCAUGCCUCCCCAACCCUUCCCCUGGCUUUAGUUUCUUUGUAGCACUGGUCCCCGCAUGACCUGUCGUUGCUUUACUUUCUCGCAUCACUUCUCCCUGCCUCCAGCACAUGCACUAAAAUUUAAACUCCAUGCCUGGACAAAAUCAAUGUUUGUUAAAUAAAGUCUGCCAGUUCUGUUUGCGAUUUUUCAGAAACAAGGAAAGAAAUCCUAUAUAAAGUUGAUCUGUGCUUUGGCAAUAUUCAUUUAGGGUAAUUGCCCUUUUUUCAAAUGGCUGUGCAUUUUUUAUGAUGAUGAAUAUAAAGUAUUUAGCAGAAAUAUUUUUUAUUAAAAUUGUUGAGCUUAUGGAAUCAAUGUAGCAGCCUAUGUGAAAGAAACACUGUGCUAGAGAGUUGUCUUUCUGCCACGUGUAAUCAUUACAUUUAACUCAAGUUCUCCAUGGGAGAUCCAUGCAGAGAUAUGAAAAUAGGACGGACGUCUCUUCCUUCUUAAAAGUUGCUCCAGAUUUUGGCUUCAAGUGCUUCCUGUUUUUUGCCCUCCCUUAUCCCUGGGAGUUCCCUCUAUUUACUUUCACAAGGACUCUUGGUAUAAAAGAUAUUUGUAUACCUGGGUGUGUGGGAAGGAAUUGAAGGCAAAGGUAGCAGUCAUUUCAAGCUGAACAUGUUAAGUGGUAAUCGAGCACUUGGUUUUUGUAGUACCUCCUGUGGCCAUCUCCACAGUGUCAUAUUUGAAAGAAAUCUUGUGUAAGCAUUGGUCUAAGGGUCACUGACUGUGAAUAAUGAAUGCGGUGACAGCAUGGCCAUCUUAGAGACAGGCAGGCCAGAUAUUGGUUACUUUGAUUUUAGUUGACAAAGUUUAUUUGCUUUUAAGUUUUAAAGCAAUACAGCAGUGUGAACUUCAAGUUGUAAACUUUCAUUUAGAAAGUUUAAAAUUUAGUUGAAAUAUAAAAUAUUCUG